GAGCGAACGUUAGCGGCGGGCUUAACACAUGCAAGUCGAGCGAGAAAGGGGGCUUCGGCCCCUGAGUACAGCGGCGGACGGGUGAAUAACACGUAGGUAACCUUCCUUUUAGCGGGGGACAACGGUCCGAAAGGACCGCUAAUACCGCAUACGUUCCCCGGGACCUCGGUCCUGGGGAGGAAAGGCCCGCAAGGGCCACUGGAUGAGGGGCCUGCGUAGCAUCAGCUAGUUGGUGGGGUAAUGGCCUACCAAGGCGAAGACGCUUAGCUGGUCUGAGAGGAUGAUCAGCCACACUGGGACUGAGACACGGCCCAGACUCCUACGGGAGGCAGCAGUGGGGAAUAUUGGACAAUGGGCGCAAGCCUGAUCCAGCCACGCCGCGUGAGUGAUGAAGGCCUCGGUCGGUAAA
rnacentral:rRNA from 1 species